rnacentral:rRNA from 1 species
GGAGUCUGGGCCGUGUCUCAGUCCCAAUGUGGCUGAUCAUCCUCUCAGACCAGCUAGAGAUCGUCGCCUAGGUGAGCCCUUACCUCACCUACUAGCUAAUCCCAUUUGGGCACAUCUGAUAGCGCAUCGCUGCUUUCCACCCUCAGGUCUUUAUGCGGUAUUAGCAGCCGUUUCCAACUGUUCGUCCCCCUCUAUCAGGUAGCC